rnacentral:rRNA from 1 species
UACAGAGGGUGCAAGCGUUGUUCGGAAUUAUUGGGCGUAAAGGGCGCGUAGGCGGUGCGGUAAGUCUGUAGUGAAAUCUCUGGGCUCAACUCAGAGUCUGCUGCAGAAACUGCCGUGCUUGAGUGUGGGAGAGGUGAGUGGAAUUCCCGGUGUAGCGGUGAAAUGCGUAGAUAUCAGGAGGAACACCUGUGGUGUAGACGGCUUUCUGGACCAUAGCUGACGCUGAGACACGAAAGCGUGGGUAGCAAACAGG